rfam:Salmo salar isolate Sally breed double haploid chromosome ssa11, whole genome shotgun sequence.
UCGCUGUCCAUUAUUACUUUUGGUACGCGCUAUGCCAAACUCAACUCGUACCGUGAGUAAUAAUGCACUGCGA